rnacentral:rRNA from 1 species
CCCUUAGAUGUCCGGGGCCGCACGCGCGCUACACUGAAGGAAUCAGCGUGGCUUUCUCCCUGACCCGAAAGGGUUGGGAAACCCGUUGAAUCUCCUUCGUGAUAGGGAUUGGGGCUUGAAAUUGUUCCCCAUGAACGAGGAAUUCCCAGUAAGCGCGAGUCAUAAGCUCGCGUUGAUUACGUCCCUGCCCUUUGUACACACCGCCCGUCGCUCCUACCGAUUGCGUGCUACUGAAUAAUUCGGACUGCAGCAACGUUCGGUUCCUGAAUGUCGCAGUGGAAAGUUUAGUGAACCUUAUCACUUAGAGAAAAAAAAAGUCGUAACA